GUGCUUGCUUUGGCAAUACAUAUACUAAAAUUGGAACAAUACAGAUAUUAGCAUGGCCCUUGUGCAAGGAUGACAUGCAUAUUUUUGAAGUGUUCUGUAUUUUG